CUUCUUUCCCUCAAUUUGAGCUUCAAUGCCCUAACAGGACAGAUCCCAAUAUCUGUAUGCAAUCUCACAAACCUGCAGGUACUGGACUUCUCGAACAACAAUCUCAUUGGUGCAAUCCUAGCUGCAUUAAACAGACUGCACUUCCUUUCAGUAUUCAACAUUUCUUACAAUGACCUAGAAGGUCCUAUCCCAUCCGGAGGUCAGUUUAACACAUUCCAAAAUUCUUGCUUCGAUGGGAAUCCAAAGCUCCGUGGCUCUAUACUCACUCACAAAUGUGGUCCAGCUUCAACACCUCCACCCACCACUAUGGCAACCAAACAAACUGACUAG
rnacentral:rRNA from 1 species